AGGCAUUCCAUUAUAAUCUUUCUGAUUGCAGCAUGUUUGUUUUAUUCAAAUUCACAAACAAAUCUAGUUGGUUUUUUAAAAUCACCAACCACAAUCUAUACACUGAUUAUUUUUCAGACUCACAAUCAAUCCAAUUAAUUUUAUGGGCUCACCAAUUAAAAUCAAUACACUAAUUAUUUUUUAGAUUCACAACUAAUUCAGUUGAUUUUAUGAGCUCAUCAAUCAAAACCUACAAUGCCCAAUUUCGGGCUUGGAUG
rnacentral:lncRNA from 1 species